rnacentral:rRNA from 1 species
CCUAACACAUGCAAGUCGAACGGUAACAUUUCUAGCUUGCUAGAAGAUGACGAGUGGCGGACGGGUGAGUAAUGCUUGGGAACUUGCCUUUGCGAGGGGGAUAACAGUUGGAAACGACUGCUAAUACCGCAUAAUGUCUUCGGACCAAACGGGGCUUCGGCUCCGGCGCAAAGAGAGGCCCAAGUGAGAUUAGCUAGUUGGUAAGGUAACGGCUUACCAAGGCGACGAUCUCUAGCUGUUCUGAGAGGAAGAUCAGCCACACUGGGACUGAGACACGGCCCAGACUCCUACGGGAGGCAGCAGUGGGGAAUAUUGCACAAUGGGGGAAACCCUGAUGCAGCCAUGCCGCGUGUGUGAAGAAGGCCUUCGGGUUGUAAAGCACUUUCAGUUGUGAGGAAAAGUUAGUAGUCAAUACCUGCUAGCCGUGACGUUAACAACAGAAGAAGCACCGGCUAACUCCGUGCCAGCAGCCGCGGUAAUACGGAGGGUGCGAGCGUUAAUCGGAAUUACUGGGCGUAAAGCGCACGCAGGCGGUUUGUUAAGCUAGAUGUGAAAGCCCCGGGCUCAACCUGGGAUGGUCAUUUAGAACUGGCAGACUAGAGUCUUGGAGAGGGGAGUGGAAUUCCAGGUGUAGCGGUGA